CUGCCCAAUGAAUAAAUUAAAUGGCUGCAGUAUAAAUAACUGUACAAAGGUAGCAUAAUCAAUUGAUUUUUAAAUGAAAUCUGGAAUAAAAGAAUUAAUGAAAUAUAUACUGUCUCAUAUAUAUAAUAUAAACUUAAAUUUUUAAUAAAAAUGUUAAAAUUUAUUUAUGGGACGAUAAGACCCUAUAGAAUUUUAUAUUAAAUUAUUUUUAUAAAUAUAAAAUAUAAAAUUUAAAUUAAUAUUUAAUUGGGAGAAUUAUUAAAUUUAAAAAAUUUUAAUUUAAAAAAACUUUAAUUAAAGAAUAUAUCUUGAUCUUUAAAUUAAAAUUAAUAGAAUAAAUUACCUUAGGGAUAACAGCGUUAUAUUUUUUUAUAGAUCACAUAGAAAAAAAUGAUUGCGACCUCGAUGUUGAAUUAAGAUAAAUUUUAAAUGUAGAAAUUUAAUAAUUAAGUCUGUUCGACUUUUAAAAUCUUACAUGAUUUGAGUUCAAAUCGACGUAAGUCAGAUUGG
rnacentral:rRNA from 1 species